rnacentral:rRNA from 1 species
UACGAGGGGGGCAAGCGUUGUCCGGAAUUAUUGGGCGUAAAGGGCGCGUAGGCGGCUUGGCAAGUGGAUGGUGAAAUCCCUCGGCUUAACCGAGGAACUGCCGUCCAAACUGCUUCGCUUGAGACCGGGAGAGGUGAGUGGAAUUCCCAGUGUAGCGGUGAAAUGCGUAGCUAUUGGGAGGAACACCAGUGGCGAAGGCGGCUCACUGGACCGGUACUGACGCUGAUGCGCGAAAGCGUGGGGAGCAAACGGG